rnacentral:rRNA from 1 species
ACGCUGGCGGCAUGCCUAAUACAUGCAAGUCGAACGCUGAAGCACUCUGCUUGCAGAGUGCGGAUGAGUGGCGAACGGGUGAGUAACACGUGGGAAAUCUGCCUAGGAGUGGGGGAUAACAUUCGGAAACGGAUGCUAAUACCGCAUAUCUUUUUGAACCGCAUGGUUCUUAAACGAAAGACGGCUUCGGCUGUCGCUCUUAGAUGAUCCCGCGGCGUAUUAGUUAGUUGGUGGGGUAAAGGCCUACCAAGACCAUGAUACGUAGCCGACCUGAGAGGGUGAUCGGCCACACUGGGACUGAGACACGGCCCAGACUCCUACGGGAGGCAGCAGUAGGGAAUCUUCCACAAUGGGUGAAAACCUGAUGGAGCAAUGCCGCGUGAAUGAAGAAGGUCUUCGGAUCGUAAAGUUCUGUUAUUAGAGAAGAACAAGUCAAGGAGUAACUGUCUUGACUUUGACGGUACCUAACCAGAAAGUCACGGCUGACUACGUG